UGCUGUGCUGCGUGUGUCCCAGCAAGGUGAUCUGUUCCUGGAAAUUUUAAGAAUGAAGAAACGAAGAAGACAAUCGAUCCUUGGUACUGGAAGGCAGAAUUGCUGAUCAGUGCUGUUUUCUGCUGAUAGAAACACUGGCCCAGGGUGUCAGAUAAAUACGAGGAUAGCAAGAGGUUUGCAGUCUAACACCAAUGAGAGGAUGGCGUGGAGGUCAAGAGUUUUUGAUUACAACUUAAAGCAUGUUUUUAAAGUAGCCUAAACAAUGUGAAAUAUAAAACUGGGCCAUAUACUUUCCAUAUGAAUAGUCAUUUUAUAAUAAUUGCACAUUAAUAUUUAGCAAAAGCGUCACUUAAAUUUAAAAAAUCCCAUAAUAAAAUAC